UAAUACGAAGGGGGCUAGCGUUGUUCGGAAUUACUGGGCGUAAAGCGCGCGUAGGCGGUUUUGCAAGCCAGAGGUGAAAUGCCUGAGCUCAACUUAGGAAUUGCCUUUGGGACUGCGAGGCUUUGAGGACUGGAGAGGUGAGUGGAAUUCCCAGUGUAGAGGUGAAAUUCGUAGAUAUUGGGAAG
rnacentral:rRNA from 1 species